AACAGGAUUAGAUACCCUGGUAGUCCACGCCGUAAACGAUGAGUGCUAGGUGUUAGACCCUUUCCGGGGUUUAGUGCCGUAGCUAACGCAUUAAGCACUCCGCCUGGGGAGUACGACCGCAAGGUUGAAACUCAAAGGAAUUGACGGGGGCCCGCACAAGCGGUGGAGCAUGUGGUUUAAUUCGAGGCAACGCGAAGAACCUUACCAGGUCUUGACAUCCCUCUGACCACUCUAGAGAUAGAGUUUUCCUUCGGGACAGAGGUGACAGGUGGUGCAUGGUUGUCGUCAGCUCGUGUCGUGAGAUGUUGGGUUAAGUCCCGCAACGAGCGCAACCCCUAUUGUUAGUUGCCAUCAUUCAGUUGGGCACUCUAGCGAGACUGCCGGUAAUAAACCGGAGGAAGGUGGGGAUGACGUCAAACCAUCAUGCCCCUUAUGACCUGGGCUACACACGUGCUACAAUGGCUGGUACAACGAGUCGCAAGUCGGUGACGGCAAGCUAAUCUCUUAAAGCCAGUCUCAGUUCGGAUUGUAGGCUGCAACUCGCCUACAUGAAGUCGGAAUCGCUAGUAAUCGCGGAUCAGCACGCCGCGGUGAAUACGUUCCCGGGCCUUGUACACACCGCCCGUCACACCACGAGAGUUUGUAACACCCGAAGUCGGUGAGGUAACCAUUAGGAGCCAGCCGCCUAAGGUGGGAUAGAUGAUUGGGGUGAAGUCGUAACAAGGUAACC
rnacentral:rRNA from 1 species